UACGUAGGGAGCAAGCGUUGUCCGGAAUCAUUGGGCGUAAAGCGCGCGUAGGCGGCCCUGUAAGUCCGUUGUGAAAGUCAAAGGCUCAACCUUUGAAAGCCGAUGGAUACUGCAGGGCUAGAGUCCGGAAGAGGCGAGUGGAAUUCCUGGUGUAGCGGUGGAAUGCGUAGAGAUCCGGAAGAACACCGGUGGCGAAGGCGGCCCGCUGGGCAACUGCUGACACUGAGGCGCGACAGCGUGGGGAGCAAACAGG
rnacentral:rRNA from 1 species